rnacentral:rRNA from 1 species
AUCAUGGCUCAGGAUGAACGCUAGCUACAGGCUUAACACAUGCAAGUCGAGGGGAAACGAUAGAGAAAGCUUGCUUUUUCUAGGCGUCGACCGGCGCACGGGUGAGUAACGCGUAUCCAACCUGCCCACCACUUGGGGAUAACCUUGCGAAAGUAAGACUAAUACCCAAUGACGUCUCUAGAAGACAUCUGAAAGAGAUUAAAGAUUUAUCGGUGAUGGAUGGGGAUGCGUCUGAUUAGCUUGUUGGCGGGGUAACGGCCCACCAAGGCGACGAUCAGUAGGGGUUCUGAGAGGAGGGUCCCCCACAUUGGAACUGAGACACGGUCCAAACUCCUACGGGAGGCAGCAGUGAGGAAUAUUGGUCAAUGGACGAGAGUCUGAACCAGCCAAGUAGCGUGCAGGAUGACGGCCCUAUGGGUUGUAAACUGCUUUUAUAAGGGAAUAAAGUGAGUCUCGUGAGACUUUUUGCAUGUACCUUAUGAAUAAGGACCGGCUAAUUCCGUG